rnacentral:rRNA from 1 species
CCUACGGGGGGCUGCAGUAGGGAAUAUUGCACAAUGGGGGAAACCCUGAUGCAGCAACGCCGCGUGAGUGAUGAAGGCUCUAGGGUCGUAAAGCUCUGUCGUAUGGGAAGAAAAAAAUGACGGUACCAUACAAGAAAGGACCGGCCAACUUCGUGCCAGCAGCCGCGGUAAUACGGGGGGUCCAAGCGUUGUUCGGAAUCACUGGGCGUAAAGCGCAUGUAGGUGGCUUUUCAAGUCAACUGUGAAAGCCCCGGGCCUAACCCGGGAAGUGCAGU